rnacentral:rRNA from 1 species
CAGGCUUAACACAUGCAAGUCGAGGGGCAGCAUGGUCUUUUCUUGCUAAGGCCGAUGGCGACCGGCGCACGGGUGAGUAACGCGUAUCCAACCUGCCUUACACUCUUGGACAGCCUUCUGAAAGGGAGAUUAAUACAAGAUGUUAUCAUGAGUAAGCAUUUUCGCAUGAUUAAAGGUUUACCGGUGUAAGAUGGGGAUGCGUUCCAUUAGAUAGUAGGCGGGGUAACGGCCCACCUAGUCUUUGAUGGAUAGGGGUUCUGAGAGGAAGGUCCCCCACAUUGGAACUGAGACACGGUCCAAACUCCUACGGGAGGCAGCAGUGAGGAAUAUUGGUCAAUGGACGAGAGUCUGAACCAGCCAAGUAGCGUGAAGGAUGAAGGUUCUAUGGAUUGUAAACUUCUUUUAUACGGGAAUAAACGGAUCCACGUGUGGAUUUUUGCAUGUACCGUAUGAAUAAGGAUCGGCUAACUCCGUGCCAGCAGCCGCGGUAAUACGGAGGAUCCGAGCGUUAUCCGGAUUUAUUGGGUUUAAAGGGAGCGUAGAUGGGUUGUUAAGUCAGUUGUGAAAGUUUGCGGCUCAACCGUAAAAUUGCAAUUGAUACUGGCAGUCUUGAGUACAGUUGAGGUAGGCGGAAUUCGUGGUGUAGCGGUGAAAUGCUUAGAUAUCACGAAGAACUCCGAUUGCGAAGGCAGCUUACUAACCUGUAACUGACAUUGAUGCUCGAAAGUGUGGGUAUCAUACAGGAUUAGAUACCCUGGUAGUCCACACGGUAAACGAUGAAUACUCGCUGUAAGCGAUAUACAGUCUGCGGCCAAGCGAAAGCAUUAAGUAUUCCACCUGGGGAGUACGCCGGCAACGGUGAAACUCAAAGGAAUUGACGGGGGCCCGCACAAGCGGAGGAACAUGUGGUUUAAUUCGAUGAUACGCGAGGAACCUUACCCGGGCUUAAAUUGCAACCGAAUAUGGCGGAAACGCUAUAGCUAGCAAUAGCGGUUGUGAAGGUGCUGCAUGGUUGUCGUCAGCUCGUGCCGUGAGGUGUCGGCUUAAGUGCCAUAACGAGCGCAACCCUUGCCGAUAGUUACUAACAGGUCAUGCUGAGGACUCUGUCGGGACUGCCAUCGUAAGAUGUGAGGAAGGUGGGGAUGACGUCAAAUCAGCACGGCCCUUACGUCCGGGGCUACACACGUGUUACAAUGGGGGGUACAGAGGGCUGCUACCACGCAAGUGGAUGCCAAUCCCAAAAACCUCUCUCAGUUCGGAUUGAAGUCUGCAACCCGACUUCAUGAAGCUGGAUUCGCUAGUAAUCGCGCAUCAGCCACGGCGCGGUGAAUACGUUCCCGGGCCUUGUACACACCGCCCGUCAAGCCAUGGAGCCGGGGGUACCUGAAGUGCGUAACCGCAAGGAGCGCCCUAGGGUAAAACUGGUGACUG